UUCUUCAUAAAAUUUAAUAAAUCGCAUAAAUUAGAUAGAUUUCUCAUGUUUGCCAGUUGUUAUGGAUGCACAAUAAUUUCUGAAUUUACUUAUUUAUUUUGACUUUUUCCAUAGUGUUUUCUUUUGAUUUUGUAUGCCCCUCUUCUGGUUUGUAUCUUCUUUUACAUGAUCAAUACUGAUUUGUUUAUACUAUAAUAUUUACCCUGAGUCCAUGGUAUAAUGAAUAUAAACAGAUGCUACUACCCCUAAAUUAACUAACUCAAAAUGGUGAUUUUUGUCCAUCUCUAGGUAAAGGUCAAAAGUCUUUUUUAUAUAAUAAUCAACUAAAUAUUAAAAUAAUUAAACACAAAAAAGUUCUUAAUCAAAACGAGUGUAAAUAUUAUUCUUAACA
rnacentral:lncRNA from 1 species